rnacentral:RNase_MRP_RNA from 1 species
CAGCCACAGGAUGAAGUGAGCGGGCCUAACCAGCCCUGGAAAGUCCCCGGGCCCCCUGCGCAGCGAUGCGCCCACGGAGACGUGGACGGCCCACGAGCUGGCUCUCCUCCCAACAAUAAUGGGGGGCUGAGACGAGUGUGGAGCCCAGUACAGGGAGCCGGCUCUGGGUUAAAUGGCCGUGUAUCUAUCGUCACAGUUAUUCACUUGGUCCGCUAUAUAUUCCUGGACUAACAGAACGGGGCUUACACUCCUGUGGCC